CUCCAAAAGCGUAUAUUAAAGUUGUUGCAGUUAAAAAGCUCGUAGUUGAAAUUCUGAUUGUAAGGGCCUUGUGCCUCUGGCCGAGGUACCUUCAGUCAUCCGCUUGUGAACUUAUGCUCACCAUUCACUUGGCGACUAAGUGAGCAAGCAUUUUACCUUGAGAAAAACAGAGUGUUCCAGGCAGGUUUGUCCGGGAUGCA
rnacentral:rRNA from 1 species